UACGUAGGUGACCAGCGUUGUCCGGAUUUACUGGGCGUAAAGAGCGCGCAGGCGGUCGUUCAAGGCGAGUGUGAAAGCCCCCGGCUCAACUGGGGAGGGUCACUUGAUACUGAUCGACUCGAAGGCAGGAGAGGGAAGCGGAAUUCCCGGUGUAGUGGUGAAAUGCGUAGAUAUCGGGAGGAACACCAGUGGCGAAGGCGGCUUCCUGGCCUGUUCUUGACGCUGAGGCGCGAAAGCUAGGGGAGCAAACGGG
rnacentral:rRNA from 1 species